rnacentral:lncRNA from 1 species
GCAUCAGUCAGAUAGAUACUUAAGUUUCUUGAUCCGAGAUGGAGAUCUUGUCGCACUCAAUGAGAACGAUGAAGAUCUAAUCACCUACAUGGAUGCAAUACAGAGAUCCAACUCUAAUAAAUGGCUUGAAGCCAUGAGAUCCAAAAUGAAGUUCAUGAAGGUCAACGAUGUAGGACAUUAGUUGACCCACUUGAAGGGAAAAAGCCUAUAAGGUGUAACUGAGUCUUCAAGAGGAAGAGGGGCGC